rnacentral:rRNA from 1 species
GUUGCCUCGGCGGAUCAGCCCGCGCCCCGUAAAACGGGACGGCCCGCCAGAGGACCCAAACUCUAAUGUUUCUUAUUGUAACUUCUGAGUAAAACAAACAAAUAAAUCAAAACUUUCAACAACGGAUCUCUUGGUUCUGGCAUCGAUGAAGAACGCAGCAAAAUGCGAUAAGUAAUGUGAAUUGCAGAAUUCAGUGAAUCAUCGAAUCUUUGAACGCACAUUGCGCCCGCUGGUAUUCCGGCGGGCAUGCCUGUUCGAGCGUCAUUUCAACCCUCAAGCCCCCGGGUUUGGUGUUGGGGAUCGGCUCUGCCCUUCUGGGCGGUGCCGCCCCCGAAAUACAUUGGCGGUCUCGCUGCAGCCUCCAUUGCGUAGUAGCUAACACCUCGCAACUGGAACGCGGCGCGGCCAUGCCGUAAAACCCCAACUUCUGAAUGUUGACCUCGGAUCAGGUAGGAAUACCCGCUGAACUUAAGCAUAU